rnacentral:rRNA from 1 species
UAGCCACGGUAACACCAGCCCACGACGUCGGUCGGGACGGUUAUUGGGCCUAAAGCGCCCGUAGCCGGCCAGCAAGUUCCUGCCUAAAUCACUGGGCUCAACCCAGUGGCUGGCAGGAAUACUGCUGGGCUAGGAGGCGGGAGAGGCCGGGGGUACUCCUAGGGUAGGGGCGAAACCCUAUAAUCCUAGGAGGACCACCAGUGGCGAAGGC